rnacentral:rRNA from 1 species
AGCCCUACUCCUACGGGAGGCAGCAGUAGGGAAUCUUCCACAAUGGACGAAAGCCUGAUGGAGCACGCCGCGUGAAUGAGAAGGCCUUCGGGUCGUAAAAUUCUGUUGUCAGAGAAGAACGUGCGUGAGAGUAACUGUUCACGUAUUGACGGUAUCUGACCAGAAAGCCACGGCUAACUACGUGCCAGCAGCCGCGGUAAUAA